AAGCACUCGGCCUGGGGAUACGGUCGCAGACUAAAACUCAAAGGAAUUGACGGGGACCCGCACAAGCGGUGGAGCAUGUGGUUUAAUUCGAUGCAACGCGAAAAACCUUACCACUUCUUGACAUGGAGGUUAGAUCUUUCUUAACAGAAAGGCGCAGUUCGGCUGGACCUCACACAGGUGCUGCAUGGCUGUCGUCAGCUCGUGUCGUGAGAUGUUGGGUUAAGUCCCGCAACGAGCGUAACCCUCAUCCUUAGUUACCAGCGGGUAAUGCCGGGCACUUUAAGGAAACUGCCGGUGAUAAACCGGAGGAAGGUGGGGAUGAUGUCAAGUCAGCACGGCCCUUAUGGGGUGGGCUACACACGUGCUACAAUGGCGACCACAAUAGGUUGCAAUGUCGCAAGA
rnacentral:rRNA from 1 species